rnacentral:rRNA from 1 species
AUGGCUCAGGACGAACGCUGGCGGCGUGCCUAAUACAUGCAAGUAGAACGCCAAGACUUUGUACUUGUACAGAGUUGAGGAGUUGCGAACGGGUGAGUAACGCGUAGGUAACCUGCCUGGUAGCGGGGGAUAACUAUUGGAAACGAUAGCUAAUACCGCAUAAUAGUGUUUACUGCAUGGUAAACAUUUAAAAGGUGCAACUGCACCACUACCAGAUGGACCUGCGUUGUAUUAGCUAGUAGGUAAGGUAACGGCUUACCUAGGCGACGAUACAUAGCCGACCUGAGAGGGUGAUCGGCCACACUGGGACUGAGACACGGCCCAGACUCCUACGGGAGGCAGCAGUAGGGAAUCUUCGGCAAUGGGGGGAACCCUGACCGAGCAACGCCGCGUGAGUGAAGAAGGUUUUCGGAUCGUAAAGCUCUGUUGUAAGAGAAGAACGUUAGCGGGAGUGGAAAAUCCGCUAAGU